UAAAAAAAUUCAAUAUGUAGUCAGUCAUAAAAUAAAAACUCUACUUUCCUAAACCAACUUCCCUGUAAUCUUCUUAGAAGUUUCAUGUAUAUCACCAAUGUUAGAAAAACUUUAUCACACUAUACUUAGGGAUAAUAAACUCCAACAGACACGUGAAUACAAUCACGAAAUUCAAUAAUCAUAUGUAACGGAAUCAAUACCAGCAUGUUAAAAGUUUUAAAAAGUGGUGCUAAAUAAUUGUCUGUCUCUAAAUAACAUAGUUAAAAAAAAUCUUGUUCUUUCACACCUACAAGUUGCCCCUCCCUACAUGACUCUUACCACCCCCUUCAAGACAUGAGGGAUCAAUAGCAUCGACCUCGAAACCGCCUAUACAAACUCAGUGAGUCGAAAUUAUUGAUGACAUGACUCGUGUGUGUAUCUCUACGUCUAAACAAAAAUAACAAUAAUUCUACCAGAGUAACGUGCCUUAUUUCGAACUCAAUUACUGCAUUAUUUAUUUAUAGGUUAAACUUCUUGAUAUAUUAUGGUUAUAUUUUAGUGAUAUUUAUCCACUUUAUUCAGCACGUCGCUCUGAAAUCUAGAUUCUGCUACGGGUUCUAUAUUUUACAUGCACGGGCUCUCGAGGCUCUGGAACUCAUGUUGAGGGUCGCAGGUGCACGUUAAGUUUGAGCAACAGACUGAAAAAAUUAUUUAAGAAAGACCUCAGCAAAUUCUUGCUUCUCAACUAUGUGAGUGGCAUAGUAUGUACAUAUAUACUAAGCACUAGAAAUUAUGGAAAUUGCGAUGCAGCUAUUGAUUCCUCGAAAAGUCCUAGUGCGCCAAACAUGCGACUUUUGUGACCGGAAUUCGCGGGUUUGAAGUCACGCAACGAAUGAAUGAACAGUCAAUUGCACGCGAUUGUUGUUUCCUUUUAAAGAUGUGAAUCAAGUUAAAGACAGCGAUCAAUAUUUCUGCAAGUGAAGAUAUAGCUGAUGAUAAAAAUUCAUACUAGAGUGAUAAAUAGAAGCUUUUCAUUCUAUAACUCAACGUAUGGAACAAAAGAAGCAAAGUGGAAAGAGGCAAUUAUGAAAAAAAUUCAGAGAGCACCAUGGAUUUUUCCAGCAAUUUGUGAAUAUAGCCAAUUCGGCCACUUGAUUGCGGUGUAAUGGACGGAGGGAGAGGGAGGGUGAAAGGUUUGAAUAUGCCCGGCACUCUCUUAGGAAUCCCCGGAGCACGCGAUGUCGUCGUUCAUGUGCAUAUAAUGAGCCUCUGUGUUUCCGGACAAAUGUACUCUUUGGAUUGCGACUUAUUCGAGCAUAUAAGUACUGAAAAGAAUCCUCACUGACAUGUAUAAUCCACGUGUGUGCACAAAAGAUACAGCGAGCAACAUUGAAACUGAAGAAAUAUAGUAGAGGUGAUGAAUAGAUGACAGAUUGAUGAGUGUGAACACUGCGAGUACGAAAAUAAGAUUAAAAAGAUUCAACAAAAUCAACAAAAUUAGUAGUGCUAUGACUUUGUAGGUUGUUAAUUUAUUUAAUAAUAUA